rnacentral:rRNA from 1 species
CGUAGGGGGCAAGCGUUGUCCGGAUUUACUGGGCGUAAAGAGCGUGUAGGCGGCCAGGCAGGUCUGUUGUGAAAACUGGAGGCUCAACUUCCAGACGUCGACAGAAACCGCUUGGCUAGAGUCCGGAAGAGGAGAGUGGAAUUCCUGGUGUAGCGGUGAAAUGCGCAGAUAUCAGGAAGAACACCAAUGGCGAAGGCAGCUCUCUGGGACGGUACUGACGCUGAGACGCGAAAGCGUGGGGAGCGAACAGGAUUAGAUACCCUGGUAGUCCACGCCGUAAACGAUGGGUGCUAGGUGUGGGGGGUGUCGACUCCCUCCGUGCCGCAGCUAACGCAUUAAGCACCCCGCCUGGGGAGUACGGCCGCAAGGCUA